AGAGUUUGAUCCUGGCUCAGAAUGAACGCUGGCGGCGUGCUUAACACAUGCAAGUCGUGCGCGAAGGUGGCUUCGGCCACCGGAGAGCGGCGGACGGGUGAGUAACACGUGGGUAAUCUGCCUAGGAGUGGGGAAUAACCUGGGGAAACUCGGGCUAAUACCGCAUACGUCGUCGGGACUGCGGUCCCGGCAAGAAAGCUGGCCUCUGCUUGCAUGCUAGCGCUCCUAGAGGAGCCCGCGGCUGAUUAGCUAGUUGGUGAGGUAAUGGCUCACCAAGGCGACGAUCAGUAGCCGGCCUGAGAGGGUGAACGGCCACACUGGGACUGAGACACGGCCCAGACUCCUACGGGAGGCAGCAGUGGGGAAUAUUGGACAAUGGGCGAAAGCCUGAUCCAGCAACGCCGCGUGGAGGACGAAGGUCUUCGGAUCGUAAACUCCUGCCAGAUGGGACGAACGGACGUCGGUAAAUAAUCGAUGUCUUUGACGGUACCGUCAGAGGAAGCCCCGGCUAACUCCGUGCCAGCAGCCGCGGUAAUACGGAGAGUGCAAACGUUGUUCGGAUUCACUGGGCGUAAAGGGCACGUAGGCGGCUCAGCAAAUCGGUCGUGGAAUCCCGACGCUUACCGUCGGAACGGCGGCCGAAAAUACUGGGCUCGAGGGCGUGAGGGGUCACUGGAACUCCUGGUGAAGCGGUGAAAUGCGUAGAUAUCAGGAG
rnacentral:rRNA from 1 species